GAUGAACGCUAGGGGCAUGCUUAACACAUGCAAGUCGAACGAUUUUUUUUUGUUUACAAAAAAGAAAAGUGGCGGACGGGUGAGUAACGCGUAAGAACUUACCCCUAGGAGGGGAAUAACUGCUAGAAAUGGUAGCUAAUACCCCAUAAGCUGAGGAGUGAAAUGGAAUAUUCCGCCUAGGGAUAGGCUUGCGUCUGAUUAGCUAGUUGGUAUAGUAAUGGUUUACCAAGGCAACGAUCAGUAGCUGGUCUGAGAGGAUGAUCAGCCACACUGGAAC
rnacentral:rRNA from 1 species